rnacentral:rRNA from 1 species
CACUUUAACGUUUUAAGGAACUAACCGGAUUCCCCUAGUAACGGCGAGUGAACGGGGAUUAGCCCAGCACCGAAGCCUGUGGCCGUUUGGCUGCUAGGCAAUGUGGUGUUUAGGUCGUCUCUUGGCAUUACUGCUCCAUCCUAAGUCCAGCACUGAGUAUGGCAUCUGGAAUGGCCCAUGGAGGGUGAAAGGCCCGUGGGGGUGGAGAUCAAGUCGGCCAGUAUUGCCCUGAGUAGACCUUGGAGUCGGGUUGUUUGUGAAUGCAGCCCAAAGUGGGUGGUAAACUCCAUCCAAGGCUAAAUACUAACACGAGUCCGAUAGCGAACAAGUACCGUGAGGGAAAGUUGAAAAGUACUCUGUAGAGAGA